CAGUCGCCACGGGAAUACGUAGGUCCCGAGCGUUGUCCGGAUUUAUUGGGCGUAAAGCGCGCGCAGGCGGUUAUAUAAGUCAGAUGUGAAAUCCCCGGGCUCAACCUGGGAACUGCAUUUGAGACUGUAUGGCUAGAGUGUGUCAGAGGGGGGUAGAAUUCCACGUGUAGCAGUGAAAUGCGUAGAUAUGUGGAGGAAUACCGAUGGCGAAGGCAGCCCCCUGGGCCAAUACUGACGCUCAUGCACGAAAGCGUGGGGAGCAAACAGGAUUAGAUACCCGCGUAGUCCCUGUCUCUUAUAC
rnacentral:rRNA from 1 species